rnacentral:rRNA from 2 species
CUCCUGGAAAACGGGUGGUAAUGCCGGAUGCUCCAGUUGAUCGCAUGGUCUUCUGGGAAAGCUUUCGCGGUAUGGGAUGGGGUCGCGUCCUAUCAGCUUGACGGCGGGGUAACGGCCCACCGUGGCUUCGACGGGUAGCCGGCCUGAGAGGGCGACCGGCCACAUUGGGACUGAGAUACGGCCCAGACUCCUACGGGAGGCAGCAGUGGGGAAUAUUGCACAAUGGGCGCAAGCCUGAUGCAGCGACGCCGCGUGAGGGAUGGAGGCCUUCGGGUUGUAAACCUCUUUUAUCGGGGAGCAAGCGAGAGUGAGUUUACCCGUUGAAUAAGCACCGGCUAACUACGUGCCAGCAGCCGCGGUAAUACGUAGGGUGCAAGCGUUAUCCGGAAUUAUUGGGCGUAAAGGGCUCGUAGGCGGUUCGUCGCGUCCGGUGUGAAAGUCCAUCGCUUAACGGUGGAUCCGCGCCGGGUACGGGCGGGCUUGAGUGCGGUAGGGGAGACUGGAAUUCCCGGUGUAACGGUGGAAUGUGUAGAUAUC